rnacentral:SRP_RNA from 10 species
CAACUGUCACGGAAGUCCGGGGGUUCGAUGUGUGGAUCGCCGCCAAGCUGCUGUGCCUGUCGGGGCAACAUGAUCGGCCGUCCCGCGAAGGCCGCAGUCGGUCUCCGUGUCACUCGGAAGAGUGGCGCGGAUGGUCCGUUAAACUGUGGGAAACCGGGCGAGAUUGGAAACAGAGUAGCCUCACUCACAGCUGUGCGUCGGUCGUACGGGAUUGCGGACGAUC